rnacentral:rRNA from 1 species
CUACGGGUCCUCCAGUGGGGAAUUUUGGACAAUGGGCGCAAGCCUGAUCCAGCCAUUCCGCGUGAGUGAAGAAGGCCUUCGGGUUGUAAAGCUCUUUCGCAAGGGAAGAAAACUUAUCCUCUAACAUAGGGUGAGGUUGACGGUACCUUGAUAAGAAGCACCGGCUAACUACGUGCCAGCAGCCGCGGUAAUACGUAGGGUGCGAGCGUUAAUCGGAAUUACUGGGCGUAAAGCGUGCGCAGGCUGUUUUGUAAGUCAGAUGUGAAAUCCCCGAGCUCAACUUGGGAACUGCGUUUGAAACUACAAGACUAGAAUAUGUCAGAGGGGAGUAGAAUUCCAUGUGUAGCAGUGAAAUGCGUAGAGAUGUGGAGGAAUACCAAUGGCGAAGGCAGCCCCCUGGGAUAAUAUUGACGCUCAUGCACGAAAGCGUGGGGAGCAAACAGGAUUAGAUACCCUAGUAGUC